rfam:Stegodyphus mimosarum contig62822, whole genome shotgun sequence.
CAAGCGGUUUUUUUUGUAGACGAUCGAGUUAAAAACCAUAGAAUAUUAUCUUACGAAAUUUUU